GUACUGCGAGUGAAGCGGGAAAGGCUCAAAUUUGAAAUCUGAUGGUCUUUGAUCGUCCGAGUUGUAAUCUAGAGAAGCGUCUUCCGCACCGGACCAUGCACAAGUCUCCUGGAACGGAGCGUCAUAGAGGGUGAGAAUCCCGUCUUUGGCAUGGGAUCCCCCGGGGCUUUUGUGAUGCGCUCUCGAAGAGUCGAGUUGUUUGGGAAUGCAGCUCAAAAUGGGUGGUGAACUCCAUCUAAAGCUAAACAUUGGCGAGAGACCGAUAGCGAACAAGUACCGUGAGGGAAAGAUGAAAAGCACUUUGGAAAGAGAGUGAAACAGUACGUGAAAUUGUUGAAAGGGAAACGCUUGGAGUCAGUCACGUCGACCGAGACUCAGCCUUGCCCCUUUGGGCUUGGUGUACUUCUCGGCCAACGGGCCAGCAUCAAUUUUGUCCCUCAGAUAAUGGCAAGGGAAAGGUGGCACCCUUAUGGGUGUGUUAUAGUCCCCUGUCGCAUGUGAGGGACGGGAUUGAGGAACUCAGCACGCGCCUCUCGGCGUUCGGGGCUUUGGCCCACGCUUACGUGCUUAGGAUGCUGGCAUAAUGGCUCCAAACGACCCGUCUUGAAACACGGACCAAGGAGUCUAACAUGCCUGCGAGUGUUCGGGUGGAAAACCCGUGUGCGAAACGAAAGUGAAAGUUGGGACCUCUGUCGUGGAGGGCACCGACGCCCGGACCAGACCUUCUGUGACGGAUCUGCGGUAGAGCAUGCAUGUUGGGACCCGAAAGAUGGUGAACUAUGCCUGAAUAGGGUGAAGCCAGAGGAAACUCUGGUGGARGCUCGUAGCGAUCUGACGUGCAAAUCGAUCGUCAAAUUUGGGUAUAGGGGCGAAAGACUAAUCGAACCAUCUAGUAGCUGGUCCUG
rnacentral:rRNA from 1 species